AUCUGUCAGUUACGGGGGCUGCCCGGCGGGCGGGCUGGAGGCGCUCGCAGGCUGCCUAGUCGUUCGCUCGCUCUCUCUCGCGUGCUCCCUCUCGUCGCCUGUGGGGAAGUCGGGGCCGCCCGAGCGGCCGUCGCCACCGCCUCGCCCCGACCUCCUUCCCGGUCCCCUCCCGGCCCAGUCCCUCCCGCCCGCGCACCCCGAGUAGUGAGUGGCCCCGCGCAGGGUCUGGAGAGUCACCGCGGCGGCGCCGGGUGGUGGUUAAACCAUGUUAAGGAGGAUUUUACAGAGGAGUCUCUCUGUCACCUAAGCUGGAGUGCAGUGGCGUGAUGUCGGCUCACUGCAACCUCCGUCUCCCGGGUUCAAGCGAUUCUCCUGCCCUGGGCUCCCCAGGGGAUUACAGACUCCUGGGAGAGUUGGCUCUCAAGGUUCUGAUUUAGAUUCAUCAGCAACUCCUAUAAACACAGUGGACGUCAAUAAUGAAAGCUCUUCAGAGGGUUUCAUAUGUCCCCAGUGUAUGAAAUCUCUUGGAUCUGCUGAUGAACUUUUCAAACAUUAUGAAGCUGUUCAUGAUGCUGGUAAUGACUCAGGUCAUGGAGGAGAGUCUAAUCUUGCUUUGAAGCGAGAUGAUGUAACACUGCUCAGACAAGAGGUCCAAGACCUA
rnacentral:sRNA from 1 species